CCUGUGUUGGGGACAGGGAGUUUAGGGGUUUUCCCCUCUGUGCCCCACACACAGCCCAGCUCCCCCUCCCUCUCUGACCCUCCUGCCGCCCACUUCCCCUGUCUGCCCUGCUCCCGCCCCGAUCCCCCCACCCCCGGGGUGCCCGGGAGGGAGCUGCCCUCGCUGCCCGGAGCGCGUAGGGCGCACGGACCGGGCACCCCUGGGCCAGUGGCAGCAGUCCAGGCUCCCCCGCCCCCCGUCCCUCCCCCCGCGCCGCAGUUCCCUGCCGGGCCGGGCUGCUGGGGGCUCAGUGCAGCGCCGCCAGCUCCUGAUGCUGCUGCCAGCGGCAGGGACCAGCCUCUCCGCAGCCGGCUCCGUGCGCCCCGGGACGGCACCAUGAACAGCCUCCCCGCCGACAAGGAGAGCAGCCCGGCCGAGCCCAGCCUGCCCGAGGAGGAGCUUGCCUACUGCAGACCCACAGAGGGAGUUGUGAGCUGGCCAUCGGUAGCUCCCAGUCAACAGAACAAACUUCUGUGACUUCUUACCUUGGGGAUGGUGUCGUGCAGUGACCGAGAGAGAUCUGUGUCAGAUGGGAUUCCUGUUGGCCAGUCAAAUCUCUCCGAGCUCUUUUCUCGCCACCAUUUGGUCCGGACUCUCUUUGUGAGCGGUCUUCCCCUCGACAUCAAGCCGCGGGAGCUCUACUUGCUCUUCAGACCCUUCAAGGGUUAUGAAGGCUCUCUUAUAAAACUCACCUCUAAACAGCCUGUAGGGUUUGUCAGCUUUGACAGUCGCUCAGAAGCAGAAGCUGCUAAGAAUGCGCUGAAUGGAAUUCGCUUUGACCCCGAAAUUCCACAAACGCUACGACUAGAAUUCGCCAAGGCAAACACCAAGAUGGCCAAGAGCAAGCUAGUGGGAACCCCGAACCCGAGCACUCCUCUCCCCAGCACUGUACCUCAGUUCAUUACCAGGGAGCAAUAUGAGCUCACAGUGCCUGCACUUUACCCCAGUAGCCCUGAAGUGUGGGCGCCGUACCCUCUGUACCCAGCGGAGUUAGCACCUGCUCUGCCUCCUCCUGCUUUCACCUAUCCCGCUUCACUGCAUGCCCAGAUGCGCUGGCUCCCUCCCUCAGAGGCUGCUUCUCAGGGCUGGAAGUCCCGUCAGUUCUGCUGAAUACUGUGUAUCAGGUGUGUGAUGGUGGCUACAAUCAGUCUUGUGGGUAUUAAUGGAGCCUUUGAAGGUGGCUACUGGUUUCUCAUGCCCUCCUGCAAAACUACAGUGUGCUGGCUUGAAAAACCUCACACAAGUUUUGAUUCCUUCAAGACUUUGCCACAGCCUCUAUCACACAUCUGCUCUCGUAGAAGAAAAAAAACAUACAAACUAAUGAUGUUUUCCUUUUUUACACUGUAUUAUUGUAAGGAAGAGUGUUACUUGUGAAAGCACGGUCGGACAGUCAUUGCUGUAUAGUUUGAAAAGUAUUUUCAAACAAAAAACAUAAAAAAGCAAACUAUAAAAGCAAAAAGAGAGCAAGUAUUUUUAUACCAGACAUUGUGCGUAUAAUGAUCUUACACCGGGUUAGAUCACCAGUUUUGUGCUUGACUUUUGAAUGCGUGCAAUUAAGAUUCUCUCUUGUUUUUCUUUUUUGUAAGCUGCAUGUUGAAGACGUUUUUAAAUCUUGUUCAGAAUUAAAUAAUUGUAUUGUUAGGUUUAUAGGUAUUGUGCUCAGCCUGGGCGGAGUUAAAAUGUGCUGAACUACAGAUCUGAGUAUAUUUACAGUAUUCGGGUUUUAUUCCCCAGUGUACCAUAUUCUAUCAGGCAGGACAAUCAGAAAACAACUUAGUAUAAUUUUUCUACCUUUGGGCUACAGUUACAGCUUGCAGUGUGAGGCUUUAGUCUAGCAGAGAGCUGUGCAGGAAAAAGCCAUGCAUGGAGCAAGUUGAGACUGUUAUUGAUGAGAGCUCUCCCUGUGCUUUCUUCAUGUACAGAUACAUUUGCUGGGUCACAUCUUUCUUUCCAGGGGCAGGAAGGGCUGGUUCCAGUAACUGCUUGAAAUUUUUAUUGGCAAUGUAAACAGCUGUACUGGGGAAAAAUUGACCCCAAUUCAGCAACACACUCAAGAACAUGCUUAAGUCUAGUUGAAGUGCAUGGGACUUAAACACAUGCUCACAGUUACACUUAAGUGCUUUGUUGAAUUUGGGCCUUAAUGAAUAGUUGAUGCCUGUCCAGCUCCUUGCUCGGUAAUAUACUGGUAUUUUCAAUGCAAAAAUGAAGCCAAAAAGGGAAGCGUUGGCAUUUUCUGCUAACCCUGUUCUUUACUCCAGUCAUUGUCUUGAAGCAAUAUUUGUAAUGUUUACUGAGAAUACUGUACCAGCAACAAGAAGCUUAUUUUCACAGUACAUUCCUUUUCCCCGAUUGCUUUUCACUCUGCACAGGAAUAGAAUAUAAAAAUGAGUCUUUGUUUUCUUGUAAAAGGAUUGACAACUCCUUCCCCCUACAGACGACUCUCUCUCUCCACCCACACGCCCGUAAGGAAUGCUGUGCUGCAGACUGCACUGAUUGGGUCGAGGCCCUGAUUGUUGACAAGUGUGGUGAAAGUGUGCUCACAAGUUUCCCCCCUAGUUUUGUUCACACUGUGCUGAACACGUAGUGAUGUCAGUGUUUUUAUGAUGACAACACAAUUGUUCUUUGUGGAAAUGCAGAUGUUGAGAAUUCCUCAGUCCGAAGACCACAACGGUAGUUGAAAGUUGAAAGAAAAACAUCACUUCUACUUUUGUUUAAACAAAGUGACAAGGAGAACUUGAGAACAAAUUAAAUUCUAAGGCAAAUGUUGAAAUAAAUCUAAACAGAAAUGUAUAAGCAUUCGAACCAAUAGACUAGUUCUUUAGAAAACGGAUUUUCUGUAUUUGUUUUGGGUAAUAGAGGAAAGAAACUUCCACAUUGUCUACUCUGCUUUUUUGAAAUAUGUUUAAAGGUACUUUUCUAUUGUAAUUUUUAAAAAAUAAAACAAUGAUUAUUAUAACUUA